rnacentral:rRNA from 1 species
UGGGGAAUUUUGCACAAUGGGCGCAAGCCUGAUGCAGCAACGCCGCGUGGGUGAAGAAGGUCCUAGGAUUGUAAAGCCCUUUCGGCUGGGAAGAAGGGGCGACGGGAUAAUACCUCGUCGUCUUGACGGUACCAGAGGAAGAAGCACCGGCUAAUUCCGUGCCAGCAGCCGCGGUAAUACGGAAGGUGCAAGCGUUGUUCGGAAUGACUGGGCGUAAAGCGCACGUAGGCGGCUUGGUAAGUCGGCUGUGAAAGCCCUGGGCUUAACCUAGGAAUAGCAGCCGAAACUACCUCGCUUGAAUGCUUGAGAGGUUGGCAGAAUUCCUGGUGUAGGGGUGAAAUCCGUAGAUAUCAGGAGGAACAUCGGAGGCGAAGGCGGCCGGCUGGCAAUGCAUUGACGC